rnacentral:rRNA from 1 species
CCCUUAGAUGUUCUGGGCUGCACGCGCGCUACACUGACACACUCAGCGAGUCACCUGAUCUGAGAAGACCGGGCAAUCAUGUGAGCGUGUGUCGUGAUGGGGAUAGAAUAUUGUAAUUAUUACUCUUCAACGAGGAAUUCCUAGUAAGCGCGGGUCAGCAGCUCGCGCUGAUUACGUCCCUGCCCUUUGUACACACCGCCUGUCGCUCCUACCGAGGGGGUGAUCCGGUGAAUGAUUCGGACUUUGGCAUUGCUAUGUUUCAUAGCAUUGCUGGGGGAAGUCUUGUGAACCUUAUCACUUGGAGGAAGGAGAAGUCGUAACA